rnacentral:rRNA from 1 species
CGCAGGGACGCAGCAUACCAUGCAGUCGAGCGGAGAUGAGAGUGCUUGCACCUUAUCUUAGCGGCGGACGGGUGAGUAAUGCUUAGGAAUCUGCCUAUUAGUGGGGGACAACAUUCCGAAAGGAAUGCUAAUACCGCAUACGUCCUACGGGAGAAAGCAGGGGAUCUUCGGACCUUGCGCUAAUAGAUGAGCCUAAGUCGGAUUAGCUAGUUGGUGGGGUAAAGGCCUACCAAGGCGACGAUCUGUAGCGGGUCUGAGAGGAUGAUCCGCCACACUGGGACUGAGACACGGCCCAGACUCCUACGGGAGGCAGCAGUGGGGAAUAUUGGACAAUGGGGGGAACCCUGAUCCAGCCAUGCCGCGUGUGUGAAGAAGGCCUUAUGGUUGUAAAGCACUUUAAGCGAGGAGGAGGCUACUGAGACUAAUACUCUUGGAUAGUGGACGUUACUCGCAGAAUAAGCACCGGCUAACUCUGUGCCAGCAGCCGCGGUAAUACAGAGGGUGCGAGCGUUAAUCGGAUUUACUGGGCGUAAAGCGUGCGUAGGCGGCUUUUUAAGUCGGAUGUGAAAUCCCCGAGCUUAACUUGGGAAUUGCAUUCGAUACUGGGAAGCUAGAGUAUGGGAGAGGAUGGUAGAAUUCCAGGUGUAGCGGUGAAAUGCGUAGAGAUCUGGAGGAAUACCGAUGGCGAAGGCAGCCAUCUGGCCUAAUACUGACGCUGAGGUACGAAAGCAUGGGGAGCAAACAGGAUUAGAUACCCUGGUAGUCCAUGCCGUAAACGAUGUCUACUAGCCGUUGGGGCCUUUGAGGCUUUAGUGGCGCAGCUAACGCGAUAAGUAGACCGCCUGGGGAGUACGGUCGCAAGACUAAAACUCAAAUGAAUUUGACGGGGGCCCGCACAAGCGGUGGAGCAUGUGGUUUAAUUCGAUGCAACGCGAAGAACCUUACCUGGCCUUGACAUACUAGAAACUUUCCAGGAGAAUGGAUUG